ACUAUCCCCAAACAGACUCUGUAUCUAAGUUGUAUCCCAUGUCCUCUCAUUAGGAUCGAUCAACUCAUUGGCCCUCAUGCUCGUUUGAGACUCCACAUAAAACAUGGUCGGCCAUCUCCAUAAGGGGAGGUCAAAUAGCCAAAUAUCAUUCAUGAUAUCUAUUGACCACUCAUCUCCUAUCACCUAUCUGGUACUAGAUAUCACCUCUGAUGCAUGACCAUAGA
rnacentral:lncRNA from 1 species